rnacentral:rRNA from 1 species
UACGUAGGGUGCGAGCGUUGUCCGGAUUUAUUGGGCGUAAAGGGCUCGUAGGCGGCGUGUCGCGUCGGGAGUGAAAGCCCGUUGCUUAACGGCGGGUUGGCUUUCGGUACGGGCAUGCUGGAGUGCGGCAGGGGAGACUGGAAUUCCUGGUGUAGCGGUGGAAUGCGCAGAUAUCAGGAGGAACACCGGUGGCGAAGGCGGGUCUCUGGGCCAUUACUGACGCUGAGGAGCGAAAGCGUGGGGAGCGAACAGG